rnacentral:rRNA from 1 species
GUCUAUGGCCAUGCCCCCCUGAACAAGCCCGAUCCCGUCUGAUCUCGGAGGCUAAGCAGGGUCGGGCCUGGUUAGUACUUGGAUGGGAGACCACCUAGGAAGACCAGGUGCUGUGGGUG